GAUGAAGAACGUAGCGAAAUGCGAUAAGUAAUGUGAAUUGCAGAAUUCAGUGAAUCAUCGAAUCUUUGAACGCACGUUGCGCCCCCUGGUAUUCCGGGGGGCAUGCCUGUUCGAGCGUCAUUUCACCACUCAAGCCUCGCUUGGUAUUGGGCAACGCGGUCCGCCGCGUGCCUCAAAUCGACCGGCUGGGUCUUCUGUCCCCUAAGCGUUGUGGAAACUUUCGCUAAAGGGUGUUCGGGAGGCUACGCCGUAAAACAACCCCAUUUCUAAGGUUGACCUCGGAUCAGGUAGGGAUACCCGCUGAACUUAAGCAUAUCAAUAAGCGGAGGA
rnacentral:misc_RNA from 1 species